UACGUAGGGGGCAAGCGUUGUCCGGAAUCAUUGGGCGUAAAGAGCGUGUAGGCGGCCCGGUAAGUCCGUUGUGAAAGUCCAGGGCUCAACCCUGGAAUGCCGAUGGAUACUGCCGGGCUAGAGUUCGGAAGAGGCGGAGUGGAAUUCCUGGUGUAGCGGUGGAAUGCGCAGAUAUCAGGAAGAACACCCGUGGCUAAGGCGGCUCUCUAGUACGGUACUGACGCUGAGACGCGAAAGCGUGGGGAGCGAACAGG
rnacentral:rRNA from 1 species